rnacentral:misc_RNA from 1 species
AAACUGCGAUAAGUAGUGUGAAUUGCAUUUAGUGAAUCAUCGAAUCUUUGAACGCACCUUGCACUCACUGGUAUUCCGGUGAGUACGCCUGUUUCAGUAUCAUUGAAAACACACAAUCAAAACAUUUUCUUUGGUUUGAUUGGCUUUGGGUCUAUCAAAAAGUUUGGCUUGUUUCUUACAAGCCAAGCGGCCUGAAAUAUAUUGUCUGGCUAAUUGCAUCGUUGAUGAUCGCUAUUAGACUUUGGCUUUUUUAAAUGAACUGGAGGUUGAUUAACCAGUUUUAGCCUUAGUCAAAUGGUCAUUGUAAAAAAAAUCUCGAUCUUGGCUAGGUGUUUAUAGCCGAAAAUUUUUUUUUGGCUAUAACCGAAACCAAUAUAAUCACAUUUAGUUAUCGAUCUGAAAUCAGGUGGGACUACCCGCUGAACUUAAGC